GAAACGAACACGAUUAAAAUAGACCAAAAGAAAAGAAAGAAAAGAAAACCUUUCUAUGUACAGAUUCUAAAUCGUACUCCCCAUACAGUCAGAGGCAGGGAGUCGAGGGCAGAGGCAGCAGGCGGAGAGAGGGAGAUAGGGCGAGGGAAGGAGAACGCGGAGAGAGACGAAGGGAGUGGGAGACCAGCGACAGCGAGCGCCAGGGCACCGCAGGCACACUGGAUGCCCAGUCCGCCGGCCCAGCCGCCCUCGGACCCUGGACCGUGCGUCGUGGGCACCAGAAACGAGACUCGGCCAAAUCCUGCCUCACCAGCAGGUAGAUGAAACUCAAGAGAAAAGGUGUGGAUAAAUGAAACUAGCCCAUGAUGAACCUGUUUUCUCCGUGACCACAAUAUUAACCAGGAUGAAUGGCGGUGGCAGUGGGCCUGCAUCACAGGUUGCAGCAGAUGUUCUCAAUAUUUCUAUUAAAAUUUCCUUAUUUCCAUAUGCAAGAGGAGCCCCAGAGCUGCAUCCUUAUGGUAGCUACCAUGCCGUGAUGUAAGCUGCCAUUCACUGGGGAGCUUUGGCAAUAGAAUUGGCUAGAUCAGGAAGCCUAUGUCAACUAUGGAACAACAACUUGCAGCUCAUCUCUAUUGAUGUGUUCCUGUAAGUAGUCCUGUAUUUAACAUCCAGCAGUGUUAUGCUGACUUUGAAUAUAUAAUAGAACAUGAAAGAGAUAACCACUUUCCUGAAGUUGUGCCUUUUGCCUCCCACCGUGAUUCUGAGGCCUCCCCAGCCAUGUGGAACUGACCUCUAACAAUGAUAUUGGAAGAAUAGAUACUAAGUCUUGGAGAGAUACACUGCCUCUAGGACUGGGACAGAUAGCCACUGAGUACCUGCUUCAAAUCACCCUGCACGUUUUCUCUUUGGAAAGAUAAGCACUGGAGAACCAUCUCGUUACCUUCAGCAGAAAUGGAAACAAAUCAAGACAUUAAGAAUGCCGCAGUGGACAGCAGUUAUGCAAGGUUCAGCAGAGGAAGUUUUCAAGAUGGUGUGCCUCACUAGCCAGAAAUCAGAAAAGAUCGAAGCUAGCCUUUUCAUCUCAGCUGCUCCUUAAAUCAGUGCAACCCCUCCAAAUUAAUGUGAAUUGAAACUUGCAUUGCUUUUCAACUUAAUUGAAUACUUACUAUAUGUGAACCACUGCACAAAAUAGGGGAAGAAGAUGUGGGAGACAAAGAUGUGGAGCCUGUCUUCAAUAAAUUUACAGUUAGUUUCAGGGUAC
rnacentral:lncRNA from 1 species